CGUAAAGGGUGUGUAGGCCGACUGCCCCACCCCCCCCCAAGGUGGUAAAUGGAAUUUUUCUGUAGCGGUAGAAUGUGCGGAUAGAAAAUAGAACCCCAAAAGCAGAAGCAAUUUACCGCAGGGCGGGAGGGGGCCCCCUAGGGCGCCCCCCGGGCUACGGGCUGAAACACGAGGGUGUGGGGAACAAACAGGAUUAGAGACCCUGGUAGUCCACACUGUAAACGAUGGAGAAAAUGCGAAUGCAGCCCCGAAAGGCAGCAAUCUCCCGCCUGAGUAGUACGAUCGCAAGAUUAAAAUUCAAAAAAUUUGGCUGUUCACCAUUUCGAUUAGAGGAGCGUGUAGUUUAAUUCGAUAAACCGCGAGAUACCUUACCCAAACUUGAAUCCUUGAGGAUUCCAAGGAAUCCUUAUGGACCGGUAUUGCAUGGCCGUCGUCAGUUCGUGUAUGAAACCUUAAACGGACCCAACCCGAGGAUUAGCCGCGGAUGAAGUCAGGUCUUAUGGUCCCAAUGUUUGGGGAUAAUAUGCGCUACAUUUUCUUAUACAAUGGGAAACCUGGGAGGUGAAACCCCAAAGUGAGAGUUCGGUAGGCUAUUGGAAGAUGGCCGAAAGUUGAAUUUAAUAGUAAUC
rnacentral:rRNA from 1 species